AGUGCUGGGAUUACAGGCAUGAGCCACUGCACCCAACCUAUUCCUUACUUUUAUAGGCUCAACGUUUUUAGCUUCCACAUACAAGUGAGAACAUGUGGUAUUUACCUUUCUGUGCCUGGCUUAUUUCACUUACCAUAUGAUCCAGUAAUCCCACUACUGGGUAUAUAUCCAAAGGAAAGGCAGGGAAAUCCAUUUCCCAAAGAGUUGUCUGCACUCCCAUGUGUAUUGCAGCACUAUUCACAAUAGCCAAGAUAUGGAAUCAACCUGUGUCCAUCAACAAAUGAGUGGAUGAAGAAAGUGUACAUACACCUCGGAAUACAAAUUUGACCACGAGAAAGAAUACAAUCCUGUCAUUUGUGGCAAUGUAGCUGAGCUGAAGGAAAUCCGUAUUUUUAUAAGUCGUUACAGAUAGGGGUGGUCUUGGACCACACUUUGAGAAAUGCUUCUUGGAUAAAAGCCCCAUUAUAUGGACAAAUAUAUUUCCUUUAGUCCUCAGUUCAAGUAGAGAAGGGCUUGUUUAUACGGAGAUACCAGCUAAGUGAUUUGGGGAAGUGGGGAGAAUGAGAAAUCAACUGAGUGCCACCCAUUAGCACCCCUUCGGAACAAAUUAUUGCAAUUUACCUCUUUUGCCCAAGAGAAAGAAGCUGAGAACAGAGAAGCUUUGAUAGGAUUUGAUAGGGAGAGUGAGGCGCCAGGCCACCGUGUCCAGUUAACCAAGCCUCCUCCCACCCUGGCCAUGAGCUAGAAUAAUGCUCAUGUAUUUGCUGGUUAAAGGAGAUGGCUUGGGGACCUGGGUUAUCCCUGCAGGGAGCAACUAUCUCCUCUGCUCAUCUUAAACAAGAUAAUUGCAAAGCGGUUCCCUGCCAGCCCAUCCUCUUAACAAAGAAGGUGAGAUAAAAGAGAUGGCAUUCCUCCUGCUGGGCCCAGCAGGCUUGACAACCAGUGCCAGUCAUGGGGAAAAUGUCCCUUUCAGCCAACUCGAGAUCUUUCAAAACAGACCCAGGCAGUUUCUUUGAGGGCUGAAAGCCAGGAAACGGGUUCCUGUUGGCCGAGGCUUGGAAGGAGGGCCUGCCUGGUCCGUUGGCCCAUACCAGGCUUCCUUAGCGCCUCUGCUAGGAGCCAGUUAUCCUGCAGGCUGACUCAGCCUCUGCCCAGCCAUGAUCUGAAGCUGCUCUCUGCUGUUUUAAGCUGAGCACUGCAACCAGGGACCUCAGACACCAGAGACAAUGCAGGCCUCCAGAAAGCAGGAGAAGGACUUCUAAAUCAAGGCUGGCAGGAGGAAUGGGAAAUGGGCAUUCAAGGACAUGGCAGUAUGCUAUGCUCUGUACAUCAGGACCUCAUGGAAACCAGAAAGCCCGAGGUCUUGGAAUCCUGAACAGUGUUCCAGGUAGCCAAAGCUGGUCUGCAGAAUGAAGCUGAUGUGCACAAAGAUAUUCUGCCUUCAACGGAGGUGUGAGGAUCAGCUCCGUCUGGGUCAUGCCUGGAGUCCAGCUUCUCUCCUCUCCCAAAAUGACUCCGAUUUGGUGCUCAACCUUGUGAUCACAGAUUGCCAAUAAACGAUUAGCUUGAAAAUGCUGCCUGCAUUCUUCUCUCUCCAGGGAUAAAAGGUGGCUUGAGUUUUCUCCUUUAAAGUGUACUUGUGAAUAUAAAGAUCUUCCUCCCUGAAACUGAUGCAGAUCCUGGGUAGAGAUUUUUUUAAGCCUUUAAUUUCAUUGCAUGAAGGAACAAGAGGUACCUCCCUUCUGCCAUGGAUCUUCUAAGCCUCAGGGCCUUGUUUGUACCUUGAGUCUGUGGCUUUUUUUCAAAAAUGGAGCCACACUAUCUGCAUUAUUCUGUAACUUAGUUUUUAAUCACAUAUUUUGAAAACUUUCCCAUGUAUGGACAUAAUAUCCAUGAAAAAAAUUUAACCUGUACUAAAGAUAAAAAAAUUUAACCUGUAUUAAAGACAAAUUAUGUCAGGUGUUAAACAAACACACCCUUUGGUCUAGUACAUGUUGAAAGUUUUUGUGCCAUUUGUCUUUUUUGAUUUUGGGACUGGUGGUUUUUCCCUCUUCAACAGAUUUUAAAAAUACAUAGUCAAAUAUAUCACUUCUAUUCUCUACCAUUUUUGUCAUUCUUAGAAACACUAGCGUUUGUGUGGCUAAAUUCAGUAUUUUCUUGCCCUCUUACGGUUUUUGCUGCAAAGACAAGGUAAGCAAGACUAUUUUUGUCACCCAGUUUUAUCAUCACCAUUUACUGAAUGGUUCACCAUUCCCAUUGAUGUGAAAAGUACCUUCUUCCUAACCCAAAAUACACAUAGGAACAAAGUCAUUUGUGGACUUUUAAUUAUUAAGAGGCAGCCCCAGCUUCAGAUGUUAGAGACUAACAUUUUAUCCCCUGACUUUUCUAAGAAGCAGUAUCCUUAGACUCUUCGAAGACUUUUUUUUUAAUUGGGAUUGCACAUUUAGACAACUUUACAAUUGUUACAAAAGUACAAAAGGCAGUUUCAAAGAACAGUGCCUUUCACUUUGCAAUGAAUUUGGAUGUUUGGGAAUUUGAUUUUUAACAUCUAAAUGCAUGCUAUUCCUUACCUGAAAGCUAUACAGGCUGCUAAGAAUUUGAGAAGUAGAUGGGAUGCAGACAUCAUCUGGUCCAGUGUUUUCAGUUGACAAAGAAACUUAGGCUCAGAGAAGGGCAGGGAUGUGACCCAGGUCAGAGGGUGAUCUGGCGGUAUGGUUGGGAGCAGGAACCGAGGGUUCCAGCCCCUUCUCUGGGGCUUCCCUUCCACCACAUGAUGGAUCUGACAAUCCUGUGUUCCAAACAUUUCCUGCCUGAGGCUGCAGACUGGUAAGACCUCUAAAGCCAUGAAAAUCCCACAAACGUUCCUCCCCACCCAGCCGCCCCACACACCCCCAUCACACAAAGUCAGUGACCCACAGUGAAGAGAAAAGAUAUUUAAUUAUUUCUCAGGCUAAUCUCUUAAAGCGCUCAAAGUGUUUUCACAAGUGCAAGGGGAGGGAUUGUUCUCAGCCAACAUUUACCAGUGAUUCCGACACACGCAAAAACACUCCCAAUCACGGUGCUUUAUACUUACUUUUAAUUUCUGCACUGAAAAAGAAAAGGAAGGUAAAAACAAUGACAGAUUAGUUUACAGUGACUUCAUCUUUGUCCUUAAAUUAACCUUUGCUCUUGAGAGCAGAAGAGGGAAAGACAGGGGAACAUCAAAGCAUGAUGGUGAAACGGUGACCAGGACACCUCGGUCUGGCUAACAAGGGUUCUAAAAACUUGGACACGGUGCCGUCAACGCACUAGUUUGUAAACACUGACAGGCAACAGUUAAGAUACAUUAAAAAAAAA
rnacentral:lncRNA from 1 species